CAUGAUGAAGUUAGCCUUUUUUCGUUUCUUCUUUUACUUUAGCACCUGAGAACAGGGGGCUUUGCGCGUAAGAAAAGAAACGAAAAAUAGCGCUUGAGCCUCCAGUGUGGAGGCUUUUUUAUU
rfam:Xenorhabdus khoisanae strain MCB contig037, whole genome shotgun sequence.